rnacentral:rRNA from 1 species
GACGUAGGGCGCGAGCGUUGUCCGGAUUUAUUGGGCGUAAAGAGCUCGUAGGCGGCUUGUCGCGUCGUCCGUGAAAACCCACAGCUCAACUGUGGGCUUGCGGUCGAUACGGGCAGGCUAGAGUUCGGUAGGGGAGAUCGGAAUUCCUGGUGUAGCGGUGAAAUGCGCAGAUAUCAGGAGGAACACCGGUGGCGAAGGCGGAUCUCUGGGCCAUUACUGACGCUGAGGAGCGAAAGCGUGGGGAGCGAACAGG